UACAGAGGUGGCAAGCGUUGUUCGGAAUUACUGGGCGUAAAGGGCGCGUAGGCGGCCCGUCAAGUCCCGUGUGAAAGCCCCCGGCUCAACCGGGGAACGGCGCGGGAAACUAGCAGGCUUGAGUUCGGGAGAGGGAAGCGGAAUUCCGGGUGUAGCGGUGAAAUGCGCAGAUAUCUGGAGGAACACCGGUGGCGAAGGCGGCAUCCUGGACCACGACUGACGCUGAGUGAGCGAAAGCCAGGGGAGCAAACGGG
rnacentral:rRNA from 1 species